GACGAACGCUGGCGGCGUGCCUAAUACAUGCAAGUCGAGCGAACAGAUGAAGAAGCUUGCUUCUUCUGACGUUAGCGGCGGACGGGUGAGUAACACGUGGGCAACCUACCUUAUAGUUUGGGAUAACUCCGGGAAACCGGGGCUAAUACCGAAUAAUCUAUUUCUUCUCAUGAAGGAAUACUAAAAGACGGUUUCGGCUGUCGCUAUAAGAUGGGCCCGCGGCGCAUUAGCUAGUUGGUGAGGUAACGGCUCACCAAGGCAACGAUGCGUAGCCGACCUGAGAGGGUGAUCGGCCACACUGGGACUGAGACACGGCCCAGACUCCUACGGGAGGCAGCAGUAGGGAAUCUUCCACAAUGGGCGAAAGCCUGAUGGAGCAACGCCGCGUGAGUGAAGAAGGAUUUCGGUUCGUAAAACUCUGUUGUAAGGGAAGAACAAGUACAGUAGUAACUGGCUGUACCUUGACGGUACCUUAUUAGAAAGCCACGGCUAACUACGUGCCAGCAGCCGCGGUAAUACGUAGGUGGCAAGCGUUGUCCGGAAUUAUUGGGCGUAAAGCGCGCGCAGGUGGUUCUUUAAGUCUGAUGUGAAAGCCCACGGCUCAACCGUGGAGGGUCAUUGGAAACUGGGGAACUUGAGUGCAGAAAANGAUAGUGGAAUUCCCAGUGUAGCGGUGAAAUGCGUAGAGAUUGGAGGAACCCCGGGGGCGAAGGCGACUAUCUGGUCUGUAACUGACACUGAGGCGCGAA
rnacentral:rRNA from 1 species